ensembl:lncRNA
GGGGGACAGAGAGAAGGGGUGGGGUAGAGGGAGGGACAGAGAGAAGGGGUGGGGUAGAGAGAGAUGGACAGAGAGAAGGGGCAGGGUAGAGGGAGGAACAGAGAUAAGGGGGCAGGAGAGAGGGGGACAGAGAGAAGGGAUGGGGUAGAGGGAGGGACAGAGAGAAGGGAUGGGGUAGAGAGAGGGACAGAGAGAAGGGAUGGGAGGGGGAUGGGACAGAGAGAAGGGAUGGUGUAGAGAGAGGGACAGAGAGAAGGGAUGGGGUAGAGGGAGGGACAGAGAUAAGGGAUGGUGUAGAGAG